rnacentral:lncRNA from 1 species
GCUCUUCACAAUGAAUCGCGAGCGGGUUGAGCUUCAUGGACUUGAAAUAAUUGAGAGCUGAAUUGGGAAAACUCGGAGGUGGCCAACCGGGUUUCAUAAAUUGUCUUGUUAACAAGAGCCGACAUUAUAUCAACCUGCUGAGGAUCCUUGUGCCCAGAACCACCCGACCCCAUCAAGGUUUGAACACAAAUUCUGGGAUAUCUAGUAAAGCUGCAUUCCUUUUUAACAUACACUUGGUACUUAUCCAAGGCAGCCCCAGACACCGAGGCCCCUCCCAAUACCCAAAGAAACCCUAAAACAACAAACUGAAACAUAUUCUCAAAUUUUAGAGGUAUCAAACAAACUGGC